GGACAGAGGAUUGGGGGUAGAGGUGGGCAGGAGGGGCCUCUCCUUCAAGCCUUUCUCGUGCCCACGCUAUCCUCCAGGG
ensembl:miRNA